rnacentral:tRNA from 1 species
UCUCUGGUGGCUCAGACGGUAAAGCGUCUGCCUGCAAUGCAGGUGACCCGGGUUCGAUCCCUGGGUCGGGAA